UGGGGAAUAUUGGACAAUGGGGGGAACCCUGAUCCAGCCAUGCCGCGUGUGUGAAGAAGGCCUUAUGGUUGUAAAGCACUUUAAGCGAGGAGGAGGCUACUUUAGUUAAUACCUAGAGAUAGUGGACGUUACUCGCAGAAUAAAGCACCGGCUAACUCUGUGCCAG
rnacentral:rRNA from 1 species